rnacentral:rRNA from 1 species
UACGUAGGGUGCAAGCGUUGUCCGGAAUUAUUGGGCGUAAAGAGCUCGUAGGCGGUUUGUCGCGUCGAAUGUGAAAACCCGGGGCUCAACCCCGGGCCUGCAUUCGAUACGGGCAGACUAGAGUUCGGUAGGGGAGUCUGGAAUUCCCGGUGUAGCGGUGAAAUGCGCAGAUAUCGGGAGGAACACCGGUGGCGAAGGCGGUUCUCUGGGCCUUACCUGACGCUGAGGAGCGAAAGCGUGGGGAGCGAACAGG